rnacentral:rRNA from 1 species
CGCUAUCUGCAGUCGAGGGGCAGCAGGAGUGUAGCAAUACACUUGCUGGCGACCGGCAAACGGGUGCGGAACACGUACGCAACUUACCCUGAACUGGGGCAUAGCCCGGGGAAACCCGGAUUAAUACCCCGUACUACUUUUAGGUGGCAUCACCUGAUAGUGAAAGCUUUAUUGUGGUUCAGGAUGGGCGUGCGGCUGAUUAGGUAGUUGGUAGGGGUAACGGCCCACCAAGCCGACGAUCAGUAACUGGUGUGAGAGCACGACCAGUCACACGGGCACUGAGACACGGGCCCGACACCUACGGGAGGCAGCAGUAAGGAAUAUUGGGCAAUGGAGGCAACUCUGACCCGGCCAUGCCGCGUGGAGGAUGAAGGCCCUCUGGGUUGUAAACUUCUUUUACCUGGGACGAAACCUUCUUUUUCUAAGGGAGUUGACGGUACCAGGGGAAUAAGCACCGGCUAACUCCGUGCCAGCAGCCGCGGUAAUACGGAGGGUGCAAGCGUUAUCCGGAUUCACUGGGUUUAAAGGGUGCGUAGGCGGGCAGGGAAGUCCGUGGUGAAAUCUCCGAGCUUAACUCGGAAACUGCCGUGGAUACUCUCUGUCUUGAAUACUGUGAAGGUGAGCGGAAUAUGUCAUGUAGCGGUGAAAUGCUUAGAUAUGACAUAGAACACCAAUUGCGAAGGCAGCUCACUGCGCAGUUUAUUGACGCUGAGGCACGAAAGCGUGGGGAUCAAACAGGAUUAGAUACCCCUGGUAGUCCACGCCCUAAACGAUGGAUACUCGACAUACGUGAUAUGACAAUGUGUGUCUGAACGAAAACGAUUAAGUAUCCCACCUGGGAAGUACGACC